rnacentral:lncRNA from 13 species
AGCACUUUUACAAUUGGCAAAUAUGUGUGGAAGGUUUCGUUCAAAUCAAAAAGGGGUGUUGUCAAAAAAGCAGACAGGCGGUUGCAUCUACCCUCAGAACGUUUUGGACUGCGUCCCAAUACUCUUAGCAAUACUGCAGACCGAUGCUGAAAAUGAAGUAAAAUAGACUUCACUCUAUAAAAAUAAUUCCACUACUGUAGUCUUCAGUGUAAUUAAAUGUAAAAGAUAUUGGAAGGUGCCUAUGAACCGAUCAUAAACUAAAUAUAAUAAUGUUUGUGUGUCGCGCAAACUAAUUUCUUUGGAUAAUUUUUUAUAAUGGUACAUUUAAUGUGUGGUGGUUUCGAUGCAUUUUAGCUUUUUUGAUUUAGUUUUUGCCCCACCAAUAUUUUCAUGUUCUAAUCUCAGACCCGGCUCACAGCACACAGCUGGUGAGGUGANNNNNNNNNNNNNNNNNNNNNNNNNNNNNNNNNNNNNNNUGCAAAAGGGUUUUCUAAUGAUCAAUUAGCCUUUUAAAAUGAUACACUUGGAUUAGCUAACACAUGGCUUUGGAUCACAGGAGUGAUGGUUGCUGAUAAUGGGCCUACGUAGAUGUUCCAUUAAAAAUCAGCCGUUUCCAGCUACAACAGUCAUUUNNNNNNNNNNAGUUGUGCACCGGGGGCCUCCCACUCCUUUCUAUUCUGGUUAGGGCCAGUUUGCGCUGUUCUGUGAAGGGAGAAGUACACAGCGUUGUACGAGAUAUUCAGUUUCUCGCAUGGAAUAGCCUUCAUUUCUCAGGACAAGAAUAGAUUGACAAGUUUCAGAAGAAAGGUCUUUGUUUGUCUAUUUUGAGGCUGUAAUCGAACCCACAAAUGCUGAUGCUCCAGAUACUCAACUAGUCUAAAGAAGGCCAGUUCUAUUGCUUCUUUAAUCAGUACAGCAGUUGUCAGUUGUGCUAACAAUUGCAAAAGGGUUUUCUAAUGAUCAAUUAGCCUUUUAAAAUGAUACACUUGGAUUAGCUAACACAUGGCUUUGGAUCACAGGAGUGAUGGUUGCUGAUAAUGGGCCUACGUAGAUGUUCCAUUAAAAAUCAGCCGUUUCCAGCUACAACAGUCAUUUCCAACAUUAACAAUGUCUACACUGUAUUUCUGAUUAAUUUGAUGUUAUUUUAAUGGACAAAAAGGAGCUUUUCUUUCAAAAACAAGGACAUUUCUAAGUGACCCCAAACGUUUGAGCGGUAGUGUAUAUAUUUAUUUAUUGAGGAGACCUUUUCUAGAGCAAACUCAGGGUCAGGAAUACAGGAGACAG